rnacentral:lncRNA from 1 species
UCUUCUUCCCCUGCUUCGGUUCUGCACAGCGCGUCGUCAUCUUCUUCAGAUCGUCUCCGUUCUUCUUCAGGCGCAUCUCUCCGAUCGGAUCGCCUCUUCUUCUCCCCCUAGGUGAGCCUAGCUCCUCCUCCCUUCCCCUCGGUGGUGCGCACGUAGGGAUCGACGCCGUGCUUCUCUGAUCAGAGAAGAGGACGGCCAGGUUGUAUGUCUAGUUCUUGUGUGUGGCUCGGGUCCAUCGUGGUCAGGGGAUAGGCGUCCCACACGGCAGUUG